rnacentral:lncRNA from 1 species
UUUUCAAUUUAUAUUCGUGCCUUAAACAGUUUAUGUGGUUGUACAUGAAGUUUGAGUUCUAUUUGACAAAGGUUAACUCAACAACGGAGAUUCGACUACACUAUGCCCCCGAUGAGCGAAGGUUUGUUUUAAAUGAAAAAGGUAAAAUCGACCCUUAUUCUUUUGCUUAUCAAGGUAAGAUGCUUGAAACCUUUGAAACACUUUUGUACUCCUCGGAUAGUGACAAAGAUCGUGUUGAUGAACACUUAGAUCGAAACGUGC